UAUGGCUCAGGAUGAACGCUAGCUACAGGCUUAACACAUGCAAGUCGAGGGCAGCAUGAACUUAGCUUGCUAAGUUGAUGGCGACCGGCGCACGGGUGAGUAACGCGUAUCCAACCUUCCCCUUAGUAGGGCAUAGCCCGAUGAAAAUCGGAUUAAUACCCUAUGUUUUCCAAUGAGGACAUCUGAGCUGGAACAAAGAUUCAUCGCUAAGGGAUGGGGAUGCGUCCGAUUAGGUAGUCGGCGGGUAACGGCCCACCGAGCCAUCGAUCGGUAGGGGUUCUGAGAGGAAGGUCCCCCACAUUGGAACUGAGACACGGUCCAAACUCCUACGGGAGGCAGCAGUGAGGAAUAUUGGUCAAUGGGCGAGAGCCUGAACCAGCCAAGUAGCGUGCAAGGAUGACGGCCCUAUGGGUUGUAAACUGCUUUUAUGCGGGGUAUAAAGUGCGCCACGUGUGGCGUUUUGUAGGUACCGCAUGAAUAAGGACCGGCUAAUUCCGUGCCAGCCGCUGC
rnacentral:rRNA from 1 species